CCUUACUAGACACAUCUGCACAUGCUGGGGUGAGGUAGUAAGUUGUAUUGUUGUGGGGUAGGGAUUUUAGGCCCCAGUAAGAAGAUAACUAUACAACUUACUACUUUCCUUGGUGUGUGGCAUAUUCACAUUAAGUCUU
rnacentral:pre_miRNA from 7 species